GGCAUAGUACUAUUCAUUUUAAUUUUUUGGCCCAAAUCAUCUAAAACUCCCAUAUGGUGCCUUUAGAAGUUAGUAUCUCUGAUGGAAGGGGAAUUCCUUUCAAUAGUUCAUUUGCUAUGUUAAGUGUGCAUAAGCUUUACUUUAAAAAUUGACUUCAAUGUUUUUCUAAAAACAUCUUUUGACUAGAUGUAGUAUUACCUAAUAAAAGUAAUACCAUUUUCUUUUUAAAGGAGAAAUAGCAUUAAUUUUGAAAGACUAGAAGCUCAACUGAAGGCAUGUCAUUGCAGGAUCAUAUUUUCUAAAGCAAAGCCUUCUGUGUUGGCAUUGUCUAUCAUUGCAUUAGAGAUCCAAGCACAGAAGUGUGUAGAGUUAACAGAAGGAAUAGAAUGUCUUCAGAAACAUUCCAAGAUAAAUGGCAGAGAUCUGACCUUCUGGCAAGAGCUUGUAUCCAAAUGUUUAACUGAAUAUUCAUCAAAUAAGUGUUCCAAACCAAAUGUUCAGAAGUUGAAAUGGAUUGUUUCUGGGCGUACUGCACGGCAAUUGAAGCAUAGCUACUACAGAAUAACUCACCUU
rnacentral:lncRNA from 1 species